rnacentral:pre_miRNA from 1 species
AGGCAAGAUGUUGGCAUAGCUGUUUGAUUCAAAUUCUCAGCUGUGCUCACAUAUUGCCAUU